UGAAACAUCUAAGUACCCUGAGGAAAAGAAAUCAACCGAGAUUCCCUUAGUAGUGGCGAGCGAACGGGGACCAGCCCUUAAGCUGGACAACUGGUAGGAGAAGGCUCUGGAAAGUGCCGCCAUAGUGGGUGAUAGCCCCGUAUCCGAAACCUGAGUCUGGUGAAAUCGAGUAGGACGGGACACGUGAUAUCCUGUCUGAACAUGGGGGGACCAUCCUCCAAGGCUAAAUACUCCUGACUGACUGGUAG
rnacentral:rRNA from 1 species